rnacentral:piRNA from 1 species
UUGAGGUCCAGGAAAAGUCGUUCGCAGU